UUGCAUCACUGCACUCCAGCCCGGGCGACAGAGCGAGACUCCGUUUCAAAAAAAAACAAAACAAAACAAAAAACUACCUAGGCUGAACAAGGUGCCUCUCCUCUGCGCUGUCUCAGUCCCUAAGGAAAGUAUUCAUCACAGUCUUAUCUUUUCUGUUAUUUGUCUCUACUAAGCCAAAAGCUCCUUGAGAACAAGAAGAGGGUUUUAUUAAAUUCUGUAUCUUCUACACCUACCAUGUUACUCGUGCUAAAAAACAGUCUAAAAUGCUUCUGAAAUCAUUGGUACCCCGCAGAUGCAAGUUGGUACUAGCACCCAUUCACAGGAGAGUCCCAGGAGACCAGACACCUUACCCUGACAUGCAGGGCUGAGAUCAACUGGGUGAGCUCACAAUAUCUGACCAUCUCCUCAGCAUCUUCAUCUGCUAGGACUCCCUUUCUAAUCACUUUAAUUACUUUAUUGCAGGUUUCAUCAGGAUGAUAACAUGAGGGAGUACAAAGAGACAGCCAAGCCUCCUGAGUUAUUGUGCAGAGAUGGGAACAAUGUCUCAUUAGUCAUGGAAAUUUGAGGACAGACAAAGGUUUUCAGAAUUGGCUGUCAUCAUUGCUCAUAAGUUACAAAGAGAACAUUCAGAGACAGGAACGUGGUCUGGACAGAAAACAAUGGUGGGUGGGAGGAAGGUGGAGGGCUGUCCAUCAGUGGAGAAGUGGGCAUCCGGCACACUUGCAUUCCAAAGGUGGAGGACUGCAUGGAGGGUUUGUGGAUCAAAGCUAUGGACUGUAGAAAGUGGAUUUACCUGACUGGCUCUGGACUUCUCUUCUUCCCUCCAAUAAGGCCACUUGAUUUCCUUCCCUGUGUCCUAAGGGAAAUUUAGGGAUCCACAGAAGCUGUAGACACCAAGACAACUGACUAUCAGCACACCAUGACCCUGGGCUCUGAUCCACACUAGGCUUUAGACUUAUUCCAGGGUAGAACUCGUAGCCUAAACCAAGUUUUAGCCCUGGAAAUUGAGGCAAUACCCUAUACCUAAUCCCUGCUUUGUUGACCUGCUCACUCAAUUUUUCAGUCCAGUGGUUCUCAAUCCUGGAUGCACAUUAUUCAUCUGAGGGCUUUUAAACAUACCAAUGCCUAGAUUUCACCCCAGACCAAAUGAAUCAGAAUUUCUGGGGAUGUGACUUGUGCAUAGAGAUUUUUCAAAGCUCCCCAGGAGGAUUGGUUAUCUAAUACUAUAUAGCAAAUUACUCCAAAAAAUGACUUAAAACAAAAAGUAUGUGUUGUCUCACUGUCUCUGUGGAUCAGGAAGCUAGGGAAUGGUGUAGCUAGGUAGUUUAGGCUCAGGGUCUCCCAUGAAGUUGCAGGUAAAAUGUCAGCUGGGAGCUGGAGUGUCUCUUUUCACAAGAUUCUUUCAUAUGGCUGUUGUUAGGAGACCUCAGUUACUUGCCACAUGGACUCCUCCACAAGUUUGAUUGAGCAUCCUUACAACAUGGCUGCUGGCUUUUCCCACAGCAAAUAAUCCAGGAAAGAGAGAGCAAGACAGAGCCACAAUGUGUUUUUUGGCCCAGCCUUGAAAGUCACACUCCAUCAUUUCCACAAUGUAAUUUUGGUUACUUAGUAUAUACAUAUUCAGUAUGGGAGGGACUGCACAAGGGCUGGUACACAAGGGAGUAAGGUUCUUUGGGGGUCAUUUUCAAGGCUAGCUCCAUACCAGGUAUCUCUAACGUACAGCCAGGGUUGAGAAUCACUGCUUCUAGUCCCUUUGGGGCUGAGGUUCUGUCUUUGUCUUGCUUAGCUCAGAGAGUGAGCCUCCUUGGGACAUUUCCCCUUUAAUAGAUUUAAAGCCUUAAGCUCCUGGGAUAAUCAGCAUUUUACUGGGGGAGGAUGGAGAGUUGGAGGAUGGGGAGCUUUUGGGUCCGUCUCAAACGUGUACCCAUAUUACCACUUACAAAGCCUUUUCAUAGUUUUCUCUCAUUUGAUUCUGAAACAGGCAAGACUUAUUAGCAUUUAUUCUCUUCACACAGCAGCCAGAAUGGUUUUGGUCUUUUUAACUAUAAUAGAUACUUUCAUACAUAAUUCUUUGUUCUGCUAGCAGAUUAUUCCCAUGGGGUAAAUUCUGCAACAUGAAAAUACUUGUUCAAAUCUUUGUUUUCCCCUGUACAGAGGCCCAAGUAGUUUUGCAGUUUGGUUGUUGCUUUUCCAUCUCUUACUGCUUAUUUUAUUUUUAGCAUGUGAAUCCAGUCAUUACACUCCUGUUUAAAAUUGAGCAACGGUCUCCCAACAAUCAUGGGGGUAAGUCUCAAAUUGUUCUGAUCGAUGGGCUGAUGCAUCACUGGCCCUUCUCUUGUCCUCCACCCCAGGCUCAUGCCACUCCAUUUUGCACCUUGAACACUGCUUCUGGCCAUGCAGGCUUAACUGCAGCUCCUCAAGUAUACGAAUCUAUUCUGCUCCACAGGGCCUUUGCAAGAGCUCUUCCUCCAAGUGUGACUCAGAUAAUUUACCCUUCAGGUAUCAGCUAUAAGUCACUUCCUCAAAGAGGUCUUCUCUGAUUCCCCACUCUAAAAGUUUCUCCCGUAGCACCCUAUUUUUCCCCAUCAUAACAUUUAUUGCAAAUUGCAAUAAGAAUUCAUUUGUGUGAUUACUUGUUUAUUUCCACUAGACUAGAAGCUCCAUGAGGACAGAGAUCAUGGACUUCUGUUUGCUGCCUGUCCCCCAGAGCCUACCUGGCAUACAGCAGGUCCUCACAAGAAUCUGUCAGCGGAUGUCUCAGAAUGCCCAGAUAGAGGACUUCACAGCCAGAUUCAUCUCUAAUAGCCACGCAAGGACACCAUGGAGACUCAAAUGCCUGACCACUGGUCUAUCCCCUUCCUGACAGGUAAUUUAUGUUUCUCCCCAUCCCUUCUGUCUACUCAACCUUCCCUGACCACCAUCUCUCUGUGUCCAAAUCCUACUCAUCCUUCGAGGCUCAAACUCUGCCUCCUUCAUGAAGUCCGCCCAUUCCUGCAGUUGCUCGCGAUCCCUCCAGCCUCUGAACCCCCACGGUACUCUCACUCCACCUCCCCGAUGAUCCUUGAAACCAAUCUUCUGCUUUCGAAUCAUAUUAUUUUUGCACAUAUUUUAAGAAUCACUUUCCCCCAACUAUUACAUACAUCUCUCUACUUCAUAACUGCCUGUCUGUACUCUGCAAAGACAAUAUGCCAUGAUGGAAAGAUCACUGGCUUUGGCGUCUGACAGAGCUUAUUUGGUUUGCCCUUUCUCCUUCUUCCCUUUCCUUUAUUUCUUCUGUGACUAUUUCUCAAGGUCUCUAUGUGCCAGGCACCAUGCAGUGCUCUAGCAAGACAAUGCACAAAACAGACACUGCCUCUGCCCUCGUGGAGUUUAGAGACUGAGUUUUCUAAUCUCCAGUCCUUUAAUUACUGGCUGUGUGACUUGGGAAAGUUGUUUCAUCUCAAAGAGCCUCAGUUUCCUCGUUUACAAUACUGGACUUCAUAACAAUUUUUUUCUAGGAGUGUUGGGAAAAUUAAGUGGAGUAAUGUGCAUAAAUUAUUUAAUACUUAACACAUGGUCAAUAAACGUACGUUUUCUCUCCCUAUUCCUCAUUUAGAGAAAAAUAUCUGGGCACUCCAAGAGAUCCAGUGACAGAUUCUGCAGCACAAAAAGAAGGUGCAAGUGGCUCCUAGCAUGGGCAUAUUUUGAUGCAGAGAGGACUUAGAUCCUGGGCUACCCCUAGGAGACAGGUUCAGGUAUGGCACCAACAAAGGUGGCUGUGGGGGUGGAAGGUGAAAUGCGGGAACUCUAGAGGUAGAGGGGCUAGUAAGGGCAGGGAUUCAAGUGUGUUUGCUGAAAGAGAGGAAGGAAGGACUAAAGGAAGAAAAAAAAGGAGGUGAAAAAUAAUGAAAGUUGAUCCAAGAACUUUCUCUGGACUGCCAGCACUCACUGUGCCCUGUUUGCUUUCCUGUCUGGAUUUUAAAAGGAGAUGCUAAUUGCAGCCUGAGAGAAUCAGCUCCAGAUAAAGACAUUAGCUUCCAAAUUAUUUUCAGGCUAUCCAAUGUGCAAAUCCAGUCAUAGAACCAGAGCUGGGGCCUCUGCCAUAGACUAAUUACGAUUUUUCUUUUAAUUCCUCCAGUGUUUUCAGGGUCCCUAAAAGCUGCUUUCCCCGGGCUCCCCACUGAACUUCUGCCCUUCGUAUUUAUAACCCCCUAGUUUCUCCCCUUCCUGGUUUCCCAGACAGUGGUGCAGACAAAAGGACCAUUUAUAACAGCUUUCCUGACAGCUGGACAUUAUUUAAUUACAACUUCUGGCAGCCACAUAGUGUGCUGGAGGCUAUUUAAAGUUCUAGGUGGCAGGAGGAGAAAUGGGGAAACUUAUAACCCUUGGGGGGCAGGAGUGAGGAAAGCCAGUGUGGGCAGUGACCAGAAGAGACCCUCAGAGCCCUGCUCUGAAGUGGCGUUUCUCAGAGCCCCACCCUGUAGCAUCGGAGUCUCUGUGGAAGAGGGCAGAGAUGAUGCCAGCCCCCCAGGGCAUCUCCUGGGGUAGAUAGGGAGUCGCAGAAGCAGCAGCAUCAAACUGAAUAGAAUUGUUGUUUGUCCAGAUGAGCCACCUGUGUUUUACAGAGCAAGAAACUGAGGCACAGAGAGGAAAAAUGACUUGUCCAAAGUCACACAGCAACCAGUACAAUUCUGAAGAAGUCCUCUAAGCUUCCUGAACCUUCUUGCUGCUCCUGUGAAUGAGCAGUCCCUGCCCUACCUGCUUUUGCACAUAGCAGCCACACACUGACCAGUGUCAUCCUGAAGGGCUGAACUGCUGCAUGAGUUAUUCUGAGUGUGAACAAGAGUGUGAUCAUGGGUGCCAGUGUUUGGUCAUCUGGUUAGUCCCACGAGAGUCACUGGUUUUCCACUGAGCUGCAGCAGCCGAUUUGCUGAACCCUUGGUAGCUGCAACCAGGGCAAGGAGAGAGGACUCCCUCACAGUAGAGUAGGGGCUAAGGAAGGCAAGUCUACCAUAGGGUGCUACACCCUGGAGAAGGAAGGACGAAAUGCUAAGUCUGAACAUAAAUCGUAAUAAUGUUGAUCAUAAAAAGCUCCAUGGACUGAAAGCUGUUAAUACCAUCAGUGUUAUUACUAGUAGCAUGUCACCCUUAUGACAUUUCUAUGAAAUACCCAUUAUUUAAUGAUUUUUACAGAUGAGGGAAUGGAAGCUCAGAAUAAUUCAUCACAGCCUGUAGUUCCCCAGUCACUGAUAGGACCAGAUUCAAACCCAACUCUGAUUCCAGUGCUCAUCAUGUUUUCACCAUGCCAGUAGUUCUCAAUCCCCGUUGCAUGUUAGAAAUCCCCAGUGAACAUUUACAACAUAGGAAGGCCUAGAGCUUACCACAGACCAGUUACAUCGAUCUCUCUCAAGGCAUGGUCCUGGAAUGAGUAUUUUUAAGUGAGUCUAAUAUAUGGCCAUACCCGACCAACAUGCAUCACAGCAUCCAUGCUGGUGAGAGCCCCCACCAGUGUGAUAUCUAAAGUAUGAGCCACUCCCACCACCACCUCCCCACGGCAUCUAAAAGCAUCUCAGAUGGCCAUGACAGGCUGAUGCUUGGUGGCCAGGGUUGUGCAGCACUCUAAUGACCUCUGUUGAUGCCAGUUCUCCUUGUGACUCUCUUGGUUGCUCUGCUGACAUCACCUUCCUGCCUGUAGUCUCAGUUCCUACCACUGUCCCUAGAGAUCAUCACCUGGCUAUACCAACUCUGACCAGUCCACUAAUCUUAGCAGCUCUUAGCAGCAGACUGGCAUCCUUGUAGGUUGAGUCUGGGCUGGAGAUUAGCAUGGAACCAGUUGAUUAGAGCCUGGUCUGGAGAACAGCACCUGUGAGAGGAAAACAGAGACAUUAGGAGUAAGUCUCUCUGUGUUGAAUUGGGAUCUGAGUGAUGUACCACCGCAUCUGCAUCAGCCCUUAGCAGAGGGCUGAAUUUGUGUGGGAUCCCAGGAAAGAUCCUCAUUUCCAGAGAGUUGGGGAGACUCUACUGGAGCACAGCACGGAGCCCCCAUGGGCAGGACUGUCAACUACCUCACUCUAUGAUGGCAUUGCAACCCUCCUGCCCACCCAGAGCUUCACUCAAGUUCCCUUAGGGGCUCAGCUAAAAACAAUUUGAGGGACUUGGCAGACCAGCACUCCCAGUCAGCCUUUACAAGAGUCUUUGCAUCGCCUGGCAUGCCCUGCUCUCUCUUUCCCAGGGUGGAGCUAUGGGGACGGGGGUGGCUGCAGGAGCAGUCUUAUCCCCUUUAUUCUACCAGCAUCUGGGAGCCAGUCACCAUUCAGCUCAUUUUACCCUCAGGAACCAAGACAGAAUUUUCCUGCCCUUGAGAAGUUCACAGGGAAAUGGGGGAGAUAAAAACAGAACUUGCGAUGAAAUUGCAGUAUUGCCGUUAAAAUGGCAUGCCUACAGAAGCAGCUGCUCAGGAAGGAAGUGAUUUUCUCCAUCUGGAGGCAGGUCAGGGAAGAGGCUGUCAUGUUAGAAAGGCUUAAGAAAGAUGUUGAAGUGCUAGAACAGGAUUUUGAAGAAUGACUAGAAGUCUGCCCAGCAGAUACUGUGGUGAAAAGCAUUCCAGUUAGAGGUCUGUGCAAAGGCUAGGACCCCUAACCUUCAGGUUAUUAGCAAACAACGCGUGCUUGAUUAGUGUUGGUUAGGUGACAGGGAGGUAGGAGUCAGGGACCCAGGAGAGGAGGCUGGGAAGGUAGGCAAGGGCAGAAAAUGGAGAGCUCUAUGACAAUGCAAAGGAACCUGAACCUUGCCCUGAACGCAAUGACUUUCUACUGAAGAACAGCAUGGGCUGCCACAUUUUUUAAAUGCAGGACAUAACAAAGAGGAUUCCCUGUCCUGUUCUUCCCUUGAUCCAUUUUCUACUUCCUAGCCGUA